rnacentral:rRNA from 1 species
AUGGCAAAUAAUAGCAUCCUUCAGGUCUUCGUUGUUUUUCUCAUCGCGCAAGUUUGCUUACUGAUGAUGAUGGCAGCACCGGUAGCGCAGGCAGCCGGCAGGCUUAUGGGAUACAAUCCUGUUUGCUGCCCUAGGGACAUCUAUUGUUGUGGGUUCGGCGGCAUGAUUUCCAAUGGAACUGCAUCCUCCACCACUCCUUGA